rnacentral:rRNA from 1 species
GAUCCUGGCUCAGAAUCAACGCUGGCGGCGUGCCUAACACAUGCAAGUCGAACGCGGUUACCCCGCAAGGGGUGACUGAGUGGCGAACGGGUGAGUAACACGUGGGUGACCUACCUUCGAGUGGGGGAUAACGUCCCGAAAGGGACGCUAAUACCGCAUAACGUCCUGCCUUUGAACAGGUGGAGACCAAAGCCGGGGAUCGCAAGACCUGGCGUUUGAAGAGGGGCCCGCGUCCGAUUAGCUAGUUGGUGAGGUAACGGCUCACCAAGGCGACGAUCGGUAACCGGCCUGAGAGGGCGGACGGUCACACUGGGACUGAGACACGGCCCAGACUCCUACGGGAGGCAGCAAUCU